rnacentral:rRNA from 1 species
UACAGAGGUCCCAAGCGUUGUUCGGAUUUACUGGGCGUAAAGGGUGCGUAGGUGGUCGGGUAAGUCUCAUGUGAAAUCUCCAAGCUCAACUUGGAAAUGGCAUGGGAUACUAUUCGGCUAGAGGAUUGGAGGGGGGACUGGAAUUCCCGGUGUAGCAGUGAAAUGCGUAGAUAUUGGGAGGAACACCAGUGGCGAAGGCGGCUCACUGGACCGGAACUGACGCUGAGGCGCGAAAGCGUGGGGAGCAAACGGG